ensembl:snRNA U2 U2 spliceosomal RNA
AUUGCUUCUUGGCCUUUUGGCUAAGAUCAAGUGUAGUAUCUGUUCUCAUCAGUUCAAUACCUGAUACGUCCUCCAUCUGAGGACAAUAUAUUAAAUGGAUUUUUGGAGCAGGCAGAUGGAAUAGGUGCCUGCUACAUGCACUCACGCAUCGGUGGUAUUGCAGUACCUCCAGGAAUGGCACACCAAAA